CUUCUUCUAAAUUGCUCCAAAUCCCUUAACCAUGGCUCCUUGAUCCUUGAAGCUCAUAUGCAAGAUGAAACUCAAUCUUAGGCUUGAUUCAAAGGCACGAAUUUGAGAAGGAAUUGAGAGAUUGGUUUGAUGUUUACCUUCCUUGAAAGCCCAAGACUCAAGGAUUACAAAUCUACACUUGCAUGUGAACUUUGAGUUGAUCUUGGUCUGGAUUUGCUAGAUGAUGAUGAUACUGAUGUGAGAGAUGAGAGCAUAAGGAUGAGAUAGGGAGGUCAGAGAGAAAGAGAGACUGAGAAUAGAGAGAUGAAAGUGUUAUGAUGCUGAGAAAAUAUCAGAGAAGACAGAGAAAGAAACUUGGAGUCCUCCUAUUGGUGCUAGUAGAGGUCCAAUAAAAUUUAUGCAGACUCAAUGAUUAUAACCAUAUGAUAUCACAUAUGACAUAAGGCAUUAGGGUUUUG
rnacentral:lncRNA from 1 species